AAAGAGCCAGACUCCAUCUCAAAAAAAAAAAAAAAAAAAAAAAGAAAAAAAAAAAAAAAAAAAAAGUAAAUAAUUUUUUUAAUAUUGUAAGCUCUUAUUUAGGAAUCAACACAGAAAUAGUUUUUUCCUUACUUGAAAGUAAUAGAGGACCCCUCAUUCAACUCUGUUAUCUGGAAUUUCCUCCUCAUUCUUGCCUCUGUAGUAUCCUUUCUGCAGUUUCUCUGCCUAGUAAAAUUUCAGAGUACUGAUCACAACUUUAGAUGGUUAUGGUAAAGACUUUGGAUUCUUAAUAGAAAAGGAAACACUGGGAGUUGGGAGCAGUGAGUUGAUAUGAUCUAGUUUAUGUUCCAGAAGGUUCACUCUGGUUACUUGUGGAAAACAGAUUGUAGUGGAGCAGGGAGACCAGUUAGAAAGUGCAGAUCAGUUUCCCGAGACAGGGAGCAAGAUGGAGAAGGGUAGAGAUGAAUAUGGAGGUGGAAACAAAACAUAUCUGGCACUACAUCUUUAAAAACAGUCUUUUGCUUUCAUAAACUUGAGGGAGAUUCUUCAUACAGUGUUACCAUUUUAUUAA
rnacentral:lncRNA from 1 species